ensembl:lncRNA
GACUAAACCUGGUCUAAACCAGGACUAAACCGGGACUAAACCGGGACUAAACCGGGUCUAAACCGGGACUAAACCGGGACUAAACCGGGACUAAACCGGGACUAAACCGGGACUAAACCGGGACUAAACCAGGACUGAACCAGGACUAAAACUGGACUAAACCGGGACUAAACCAGGACUAAACCAGGACUAAACCGGGACUAAACCGGGACUGAACCGGGACUGAACCGGGACUGAACCGGGACUAAACCGGGACUAAACCGGGACUAAACCGGGACUAAACCGGGACUGAACCAGGACUGAACCAGGACUGAACCAGGACUAAACCAGGACUAAACCAGGACUAAACCAGGACUAAACCGGGACUAAACCGGGACCAAACCGGGACUAAACCGGGACUAAACUGGGACUAAACCGGGACUAAACCGGGACUAAACCGGGACUAAACCAGGACUAAACCAGGACUAAACCAGGACUAAACCAGGACUAAACCAGGUCUAA